GGCAAAGUCUCCUGCUAAGAUGAGGGACUGCUUCAUCCCCCCAGGUUCCCCCCUCUCCCACGAAGGAUAAAUCAGAGCUACCUUGGUUAAAGGUGAUGGUUUUCCCCAUAAUGAAGAGGGAUUUUGAGAUGGUAUUGGGAAAUCAAGGCAGUUUUGCAGCUGCUCAGGUCCUUCCAAUGCGCAUUACUGCGAUGGAGCAUAGAGAAAGCUAUCCAAACAAGAGGUGCUACGUGCUAUCUCAACCCAUGGAAAGUGAGAGUACACUUCAGAUGGAUUUAUUAGGUUUCAUGCAAAACCCUAUGCAAGGUGUAACUUGAGUAGUACUGUGUGUGAACUUGGACACAAACAGCCGUGUGAGUAUGAAAACAAAUAUAAAGCUCUGAAUUUUCAAUGACUGCGGCUCAGUGAGGCUUGACAGUAUUUUAAUGCAACUUUAUGAAUAUUAAUAAAUGCAUUUUUA
rnacentral:lncRNA from 1 species